ACAUUUACCUGGCAGGGUAGAUACCAUAAUCACAAAGGUAGUUUUUCCAGGAUGAAGCUUAUCAGUCACACUCAGGAUAUGCUGACCCCUGAGAUUUCUCUAAAUAUGGGAAACUCAACUGCAUAAUUUGUGGUAGAAGGGGACUGAGUUAUCUGCUGUUCUAAU
rnacentral:snRNA from 13 species